rnacentral:rRNA from 1 species
UCCGUAGGCGGGCUAAUAAGUCAGGGGUGAAAUCCCACAGCUUAACUGUGGAACUGCCUUUGAUACUGUUAGUCUUGAGUUAUAUGGAAGUAGAUAGAAUGUGUAGUGUAGCGGUGAAAUGCAUAGAUAUUACACAGAAUACCGAUUGCGAAGGCAGUCUGCUACGUAUAUACUGACGCUAAUGGACGAAAGCGUGGGGAGCGAACAGGAUUAGAUACCCUGGUAGUCC